AUCCAACUGACGAGUCUCAAAUAAGACAGAACGUGCGUCCUGGAU
rnacentral:hammerhead_ribozyme from 1 species